rnacentral:lncRNA from 1 species
CUUCCUGCGCUAACUCCUCUGGUUCCUCAGCCCCGGCCGGCUCCUCUUCCCCAGGCACAGCCUGUACUUGGAGACUUCCUGGGUCAUGUCCUCUCUCCCAGGGAACAGGGCAAGGGGCCGCUCGUAGGAUACCUACCUUACUGAUAGAGAUCGUGGGAAGUUAGGAAGCCAGAGUCUUUCUCAAGAAGGAUCAGGGCUUGGAGGGAGGGCCAACCCUACAGACAGGCAGACUGUAUUCCUCGAGGUGUAUGCAGACGUCUCUUCUCCAAAGAGCCCCUGAUUGCAUGUUACAGUGCCCAGAGUUCCAGCAGAGGU